GAUGAACGCUGGCGGCGUGCCUAAUACAUGCAAGUCGAGCGAACAGACGAGGAGCUUGCUCCUCUGACGUUAGCGGCGGACGGGUGAGUAACACGUGGAUAACCUACCUAUAAGACUGGGAUAACUUCGGGAAACCGGAGCUAAUACCGGAGAAUAUAUUGAACCGCAUGGAUCAAUAGUGAAAGACGGCUUUGCUGUCACUUAUAGAUGGAUCCGCGCCGCAUUAGCUAGUUGGUAAGGUAACGGCUUACCAAGGCAACGAUGCGUAGCCGACCUGAGAGGGUGAUCAGCCACACUGGAACUGAGACACGGUCCAGACUCCUACGGGAGGCAGCAGUAGGGAAUAUUCCGCAAUGGGCGAAAGCCUGACGGAGCAACGCCGCGUGAGUGAUGAAGGUCUUCGGAUCGUAAAACUCUGUUAUUAGGGAAGAACAAAUGUGUAAUUAACUAUGCACGUCUUGACGGUACCUAAUCAGAAAGCCACGGCUAACUACGUG
rnacentral:rRNA from 1 species